GUCACGCCCCGGGGUCCCUUUUCAGUUUAAAACAAAGCGGAAAAGCGUCUGAAUUUUUUUUUUUGAAAACCUGACCCCAGAGUAUGCCAGAUCCGCCACAAAUACAGGGAAUCCACUGUUCACACGGACAGAGUCUCCCCUGUAUUUGCACGGCGUCGAUCAAAUACACAGUACAACCAGGAUACAACCACAACCAGAUGAAUAUAAAGAUAACUAUACAUUCAUACAUUCACCAUUCACAUCACAGUUUUACAUUCAAGGUUUAAACAGAAAUCCACAAAAAUCUUUUGAAAACUGUUUCCUACACAGAAACUUUUAUUCUUUUAAAAAACGCUACCACGAGGGGUAGAAAACCUUUUAUUUUAUAAAAUCCAGAAAUCCACAUUUUCAAAUGUAAAUAAAUACUGAACCACAUAAACUAACUAAACUAUAUAUCAACAGAAAUACCAAGGAUAAUAACUAAAUCGAAANN
rnacentral:lncRNA from 1 species